UACGAAGGGGGCUAGCGUUGCUCGGAUUGACUGGGCGUAAAGGGCGCGUAGGCGGUUCGUACAGUCAGACGUGAAAUUCCUGGGCUCAACCUGGGGGCUGCGUUUGAUGCGUGCGGGCUUGAGUGCGGAAGAGGGUCGUGGAAUUCCCAGUGUAGAGGUGAAAUUCGUAGAUAUUGGGAAGAACACCGGUGGCGAAGGCGGCGACCUGGUCCGAUACUGACGCUGAGGCGCGAAAGCGUGGGGAGCAAACAGG
rnacentral:rRNA from 1 species